rnacentral:rRNA from 1 species
CGCGUGAGAAUCUGCCCUCAGGAGGGGAGUAACAAGCUGGAAACGGGACGUGCUAAUAACCCCACUAUGCCGCGAGGUGAAAUAGAAUUUCGUCCUGAGGAUGAGCUCGCGUCUGAUUAGCUAGUUGGUGUAGGUAAUGGCUCACCAAGGCAUCGAUCAGUAGCUGGUCUGAGAGGAUGAUCAGCCACACUGGGACUGAGACACGGCCCAGACUCCUACGGGAGGCAGCAGUGGGGAAUUUUUCCGCAAUGGGCGAAAGCCUGACGGAGCAACGCCGCGUGAGGGAUGAAGGCCUCUGGG